UAUUGUGCCUAGUUUGUCGUA
rnacentral:piRNA from 1 species